rnacentral:tRNA from 1 species
CUAGAGGCCUAGGACAUCGCCCUUUCACGGCGGUAACAGGGGUUCGAAUCCCCUUGGGGACG